CCUACGGGAGGCAGCAGUGAGGAAUAUUGGUCAAUGGGCGCGAGCCUGAACCAGCCAAGUAGCGUGAAGGAUGACUGCCCUACGGGUUGUAAACUUCUUUUAUAAAGGAAUAAAGUGAGGCACGUGUGCCUUUUUGUAUGGACUUUAUGAAUAAGGAUCGGCGAAAUCCGUGCCAGCAGCCGCGGUAAUACGGAGGAACCGAGCGUUAUCCGGUUUGAUGGGGGUUAAAGGGAGCGGAGAUGGGUUGUUAAGUCAGUUGUGAAAGUUUGCGGCUCAACCGUAAAAUUGCAAUUGAGAAUGGCAGCCUUGAGUACAGUUGAGGUAGGCGGAAUUCGUGGUGUAGCGGUGAAAUGCUUAGAUAUCACGAAGAACUCCGAUUGCGAAGGCAGCUUACUAAACUGCCACUGACAUUGAUGCUCGAAAGUGUGGGUAUCAAACAGGAUUAGAUACCCUGGUAGUC
rnacentral:rRNA from 1 species